UGGGGAAUAUUGGACAAUGGGCGAAAGCAUGAUCCAGCUAUGCCGCGUGUGUGAAGAAGGUAUUCGGAUUGAAAAGCACUUUAAGUUGGGAGGAAGGGCAGUAAGCGAAUACCUUGCUGUUUUGACGUUACCGACAGAAUAAGCAUCGGCUAACUCUGUGCAAGCAGCCGCGGUAAUACAGAGGGUGCAAGCGUUAAUCGGAAUUACUGGGCGUAAAGCGCGCGUAGGUGGUUCGUUAAGUUGAAUGUGAAAGCCCCGCGCUCAACCUAGUAACUGCUUCCAUAUCUGGCGAUCUAUAGUAGGGCAGAGGGUGUUGGAAUUUCCUGUGUAGCGGUGAGAUGCGUAUAUAUGGGGAGGAACACCAGUAGCGAAGGCGACCACCUGGGCUCAUACUGACACUGAGGUGCGAAAGCGUGGGGAGCAAACAGG
rnacentral:rRNA from 1 species